rnacentral:lncRNA from 1 species
UUUGCGUUUGGUGUUUGCGUUUGGCGCUUUUACAAACAAAAAAAUUAUAUUAAAAAUAGGGCUAAAAAAUAAGAAAUGUGUGUGUGCAUUUCAAAACAAAAUACUAGUAUUUUCUUCUAAAUUUUAAUUCGAAACUUGUGUUUGAAAAUCGAACCAAAGUAGUAAUGAUUACCGGUGGUUUCGUGGGAAGUCUGGCCGAAGAAGGCUGCUAUCUCCUUCUUCCUCGUGGCAAGGUCUCCGGUGUUCCCAAAACUAGGGAAAGUUAAGGAUCAGAUUAUCCAAAGUUUUUUUUUCGCAUAAUAUUUCCAAAAGGCCAUAAUCAACCUUCAGUCUGUCACCACACUCGGUUAGGGCAAAUACGUAAUCAAACUAGAAAAACCACGAGGGACAAUUCUUGUAUACAGUAUGCACGACUGUGCCAAUCUCUUUUGCGAGGUAAAAUGAUGCUUCUUCUGGAAUGUAAGUGAGAUAAGAGAGCCUUAUAUCUGCUUCAAGAAUAUGUGACUUCCAUCAACAAAUCCUGCAAACUUUGUCAACUUAAGCCAUUGAGUUUGUGUUAAUAAUUUAAACACAAGCUCAAUGACAAUAUCUUCGAAGGAGGAAGAAAGACUGAGGAACGAGCUUAAACUGAGUUAUAAACUCUAAAAUCUUGGAUUACGAUCUACACCAAAACUUGAUACAAAGAAAAAAUUAAAGAUAUUAGUAAAAAAGAACAGAGAAGUUUAGUUCAAUGCCAAGGUAAGCUUUAGGCCACAUCUAUAAUUGAUAUUUUUAAGGCCACAAAUCUUAAAUUGUGUAAUGGUCAUAGAUGAUUGUUCAAAACCUCGAAAUUUAAUAUUUAGUCAUUUUAGUUUUUCACACUUUCUUAGUCUCUGUUUCUAGACUAAUUUUAAUCUAUUUGUCUGAAUUUAUAACUUAUAACCAUAUAUAUUUCAUUUUAACUAUCAACUAGAUCAUGAUCCGCGCGUCCGCGCGGGUUUAAACUUUAUAGUUCAAACUUUCUUCAUUGUAUAUAUUAUUACGAUUUAUAAAUGUUUAAUAUGAUUUUAUAGUUUAAAUGCAUCAAUUUUAUUAGUUUUUUUAAUUGUUAUUUGUUUUAGUUGUUUAUUAUGUAUAUAAUGUGUUGGAAAUAAAAUAAGAUAUCUAAUCUCUUAAUGUUGAGUUAUUAUUUAUUUGUUUUGUUUAGAUAUUAUUUAUUAUAAUUAUUCAUUAUUUAUGCCGAAUUUAUUUUUUGGCGCUUAAUAAUAAAUAAAUAAGUAUUAGAUGAUAUGUUAUAUUUUAAAUUAUAUGAGAUAAAAUAUGUUAAUUGACUUUAUUGUUUAUAAUAGAAUUUAUAAUUUUCUUGGGCUUUACAUGUACCGUUGUCAUAAACCCACCUAAUCAUUCAACUAAUCUCAACGGGUAAUUUAAUAUUUUCAUUAUAAAUAUUUUUCUUUAUACAACAUACAAUAUAACUUGCAUAUAUUGUAUAAAAACAGUAUAUUCGUUAUUGAGGGUAAGUCAAACGUGAUUUGAAAGGACUAAUGUGGGAUACCUUAAUCAGAUUUGAAUCUUGAGGUAACAGUAUACUUGUUUCCUUUGCUAAAUUAGACGUGAUUUGCAUUUUUUGAUAACAGAAUAUGAAGUUAUUGUAAGUAAGAUAUCAAUCCUUUUACUAUAACUAGAGAUUUUUCCCGGGCUACGCCCGGGGUUUUCUCCUAUAUUAUAAUUUUAUUUAGUUUAUUAUGGAUUUUGGAUUUGACUAAAAAUUUUAUACUUAGACUGAAUGUGAUAUAUAAAUUAUUAAACAAAUUUGCAAUUAUUUGUAUUGAUUUUGUUGACUAAAUUUUAAAAUUAUUAAAAUUUAUCUGUUUUUCUUUCAAUAUAUCAAAAUACAUAUAAGUUGGUAACCAAACUGAAUUAAAAAAAAUUAGUUCAAAUUCAAUUAUUCUUUUAUCUUGUUUAUUUGAAUUUUAUGAAAAUAUGGUCAAAAUGAGCAUAUAAUUCGAACAUUUUUAACGUUAAAAUCAACCAAUAUAUAUUUUAAAAUUUUAAUAUUGAUUAUUUAUUAUUUGGUGAUAAGAAAAUCUAUAUGAAUUUGUUAUUAAGUGUUAAAGCAGUGAAGAAAUGAAGAACAAUUGAAAUCUAAAAGUGAUGUACAUUAAAAGAAUCCUUAAAUUAUGUCAAAUACUUUUGUUUCCAUGCAGCAAAACAAAAUAUUAAAAAAAAUAAAAUUAUAAUAAUAUUCUCUAAGAGCUAUUUAUUGAAAAUUUAUCAUUUUAUGUGUAUUUGAACUAUUGCAUUUUAUACUAUAUUAUAUUUUAAAUUUUGUAUAACUAAUUUGCAUUUUUUGUUAUUUUGUUAGCAGUUUAGAUUAUCUUAAUUGAAAAAGACAUAAUUAUAUCGGUAAAUGAAUGAAUAUGAAGAACACAAUUCUCAAAUAAUGCAUUUAAAACAAUAUUAUAGAUUAAGUUGCUAAUGUGAAAUCAAUUUUUGAACAUCUACAACCAUUUUAAUAUUUUUGAUUGUGUAUCAUUGAAUCUAUUAAAUCAGAUUUUAAGAAUUUGUAAAGUAAAAUGAAUUAGAAAUAUGUAAAAUAUAUUCUAAAUUAUAUUAAUAUGAUAUUUAGUUAUUUUUGUCAUCAUAAAGUAUUUAGUACAUUUUUUAUAUUUAUUAUUAUUUUUAAUUGUUAACUUAUGAUUGAUUGUUUUUCUUAUACUUGUAUCAUCUUUUCGUAUAAAAGUGUGACAUAUCUGUUAGGACAAAAUAAUAAUUGGUUGAUUAACUGUCGUUUCUUAUCAAAGGUCUAUUAAUUAUUUUUGGAUAUUUUUUGUUUAUUAAAAUAAAAUGUUGCGUAUAUAUUUUUUAUCAAUCGAUAUGUGAUAUUAUUUAACUAUAGUUGGAUGUAGUAAGCAUGAUUCUGUGUGUUUUCCGGUUGGAUGUAGUAAUCAUGAUUUUGUGUUUUUUUAUUAAAAUAGUUCAUGAUUUUAAUGGUUAUAUUUUAUGUUUGUCUGUGUUAGUUUUUUGAAUUUUGGUGUUUUGUUACAUAAUGUAAUAUUUUAUAGAGUUUAUGAGUGAAUGAUGUUGAAAUAAUCUAUAGAUUGGUGCGCUAUUCAUUAUUUUGUGUGUUGGCUGUGGUUAUUUUAGGGAGUGUAUGUUUUUGAUAGAUAAUAUGUAUAAAUAAUUAAUUUUCAACUUGGUUUUUAAGGAAUUGAUACAGCUAUUAAUCAGUUUUUCAUAUGUUGCUUAUUUUAAUUCUAACUAUUUUUACCACUAUUUUCAAAUUUUUACAUUGAUUAAGUUUUUUAUUUAAUUCACAGAUUUAUUUUUUUGUGGUUUUAAAUAUAUUUAAACUAUGUUAAUUUGUGGGGAACUAAUUGUUGUUUUUGUUUAGUUUUGAUUUUUUUCUGCAAAGACUCAUAAUGGAUAUAUGAUUUUAUAUAUUUAUUGUUCACUUUUAUACAUACAUGGCUUUUAAGUUCAUCAUUGUAAAAUAUAAAAAAAAUCAAUUAUGAGUUUAAUUUUAAUAAUUGUAAUAUUAAUAAAUAUAAUACUUUAAUUUUAACUUAAUAUCACAAUAAUAUUUUAUGAAAUUUAAUGGACUUUAAAUAGUUUUUUGUUAGACAAUAAGAAACUAAAUAUUUAAGAAUUAUUUAUAAAAGUUUAUAAAUCCAACCCCACCCCUUAAACCAAAACUAAACUCAAAUGUUAGGAUAUUUUUGCUAGAAAACCUUUUUGUAAAAUGGUAUUAUUUUAAGAAAUUUAACUUGUUUUUUUAAUUGGUUAUUUUAAAUCAUAUGUAGACUCUAUUAAAUGCUUAUAGCCUCAAAAAAAAAAGUUCUUAAUAAACCUUGUAAUGAUUGGAAGUCAUGUGGAAAGAUUGGAAGUCGUGGAAAGUAAUAAAACAUUUUUCCACAAAACUCUUAACUUAUGUUGGGAGAUAGAUACAUUGAUCUCAAGAAACCUGCUAUGUCAGUUCAGCUCUGCAUUCCCAAGUGUAUUGAGGUUUUGAAAAAAUAUCUAGACAUGGUUUCAAUGUUUACGAUUGACGAUGUACAAUUGCGCAGGCUUUGCUUGGUGUAAGAUGCCAAUGCGUGGAUGAUAGUUUUCUGUGCAACUCCACGGGAUGUUUAAAUUCAAUUUAUGAAUCAAGUCACACUGGUAAAACUAAAUUGGGUCGUUCUAAUCUGUCUGUUAAUUGUGCUGUUUAAUAAUUCAUCUUACAACAUGAGGUACACUUAUCUUCAUUUUAAAGUCUUAAGAUUUAUACCUUCGGCUGUAAAAAAAAUUGAUACCAUUGAAACAAAAAAUUUGAAACCAAAACUAAACCGUAAUAAGAAAAUAACCAGAUUACGCUGGGUUCGGUGAGAACGGAAAGUACUACUUUAUUAUUGGACUCAUACUUAAAAUUCUAGAUAGCUAAUGGGACCGCAACCUCUGUUUAUAACACAUAAACUCCUGCGUUGGAUCUCUUAAAUGCAAUGGGUCUUCUUGGGCAUCAGAACUUUCACGGGAGCAGAAGUUUGAGGAGCUUGUGUUGUUGGGUCCACCGGACUGUCUUGAUGAUUUCAGAGAAUCAAAACAUAUAGCUAUAAAACGAACUAAGUGGACGAACCUGCGGUGGAGAGUUCAGUACGUAAUUGUUCAGUUCAGCAAGAGUAACUGUUUCAAUUUUUUGCACAUCUCCAUUCUUGGAAGAUGUGAAGCUGUAACCAUCAUCAGAUCCAGAUAAACUACUAAAAAAAAUUAAACCGUCUUUGGAGACCAGCGUGUAUAAGAUUUCAUAAACAACAAUUAGUAUGGAAUCUCUUACGCUGCUAGAAAACUCUGGCCGGUGAGACAUUCAUUGUCAAAAUAGAAGUGUGUUCCAGAAGUAGUAUCGGGAAAAGCCAACCUGCAAUACUCAACCUGAUCAAUCAUUUGUACCAAAACAGAGUUAAUCAGUAAUGAAGAUAAACACAGUUAAGCUUGCAAUAGUUUUACUCACAAGCCGUUUCUACUGCAGUGCUUCUAGUCCUUGAAAAUUCUGAACUUUCAGCGUUAAAUAAGUCAUCGCGUUAAAUAAGCUGCGAUAAUAACCAAAAGAAGAAUUUUGAAGAUACGGGAAAGCCAAGAGAGAGAUGGAUACAGCAUAAGUCCUUUUCAACCUCUUCAUUUGGCAUAUCUGCAAUAAGAAGUCCAGCAUCACCAUAAAGCAGCUUAAAAAACAUUCCAAAACAUAUGCAAAAACACAUCAGACAACAGUUUAGACCAAGUAUAAUGCAACUUUAAGAAACAUAGUACACAACCUUGAGGCUCUAAAGAUGGCAUGACGGAUUUCAUCAGAAGCAGGAUGACCAAGACAACCUGCAUCACUUUGUUUGAGCCUGAACCAAUAAGAACCAAACUACAAAUCAAAGACUUAAUGUACAUAUGUUAAUCUCAAUUACAUUCAAGCAACACCCAUUUAUUCAUAGUUAAAAAAAUCAACAACAAAGAAACCGACCUUCCAUUGUGUCUAUAUUGUUGUCUGAACUCCUUGAAUUUGAUAUUUCUCAUGUUUUCAAAAGAGAAAGCAUAUUCAGAACUAUAUUUCUUGACAGCCUCUCUGUUUCAAUUAACAACACUCUCCUUGUGCUCCCUCCCUUCCUUUCUUUUUGUCUUCGACAAAGUAACUGCAAUAACAGCAAAAAGAAAAACUAUACCUUUAUAACCAUUCAUCAAUUGAUUCGACAAUCUUAGCAAAGAUUUAUGCUUUAUUGACGGCUUGGCGUCUACAGAAGAACAGACAGCUUCCAAGCUCAGUAAUGAAGUGCUAUCAUUUUAAGAAACAGAUCCAUGGAAGAGAGAAGAAUGAAAGAGUUCAGACAAGACCUGUCUAGGCAUGUAUUCUAGGUUUCAAACAGAUGAAAUGAAAAGUGAAAGAAACAAAAGUAGACUACUUUUCUAUGAAUUGUAAAGUAUAAAAUCUUCAUGAAAUUGGAAGGUGGUCAUGUGUUUGCUUACCGGAAUUAAUUUUCCAUCAAGGAGAAGCAUACAUAAAUUCACCGGUAACCAAACUGAAUUAAAAAAAAUUAGUUCAAAUUAAACUAUUCUUUUAUCUUGUUUAUUUGAAUUUUGUGAAAAUAUGGUCAAAAUUAGCAUAUAAUUCGAAUCCAAGAUUCCCGAAUCUGAAGAGACACACUUCAAUGGUGGAUCUAGAACGAACGGCGAGUCACGUGUUUGCCGUAACUGAAGAGAUGAUUUUGAGCUGCCGCGGCUGAAAGAAAAUCAACAUUUUCACGCAAACAAUCGAGAUGCAUAUUGAUGGAAAGACUUACCUUUGUGAAUUUUGAUGUCAAUCGCACAGCUAGCCGCACAGCUAGCAAUCCAUCUGCUUUUACUGAUAAAAAUUAAUUUGAGGUUGGUUUCAUCAAAAUAACGGAGGUUUUACCAUAAAAGAAAAGGAAGUUUUACAAAAAAAAAAAACAGAGGUGAAAGAAUCGGCAACGGAAAUGGAGAAGUAGAAGAGACGAAACAUAUCAACAAAUUAGCAUCUCAAGUUUGGGCCUAACAGGCCACACGAUAAUUUUGGAACAGAUAAAAAAAAUCAGGUCCAACAUUUUCAUUUAUGUCUGUGACGUGGUAAAAAGAAAUGUUCUAAUUGGUUAAUUAUUUUUUCUGACGUGGAUAGUCUCACGAGGCUUUAUAUUCACCUUUUAGGAUAUGUUAGAUUAUGUGUAGUGUUCCUCUUUAAUCCAAUAGUUUUAUUAACAAUUUAUAAUAUUUUUACAUUAAAAAUCUGCUUUUCGAAAAUUAUAUUUUUGACUGAUGCAUUUCGAAUCUUAAAAACAAUUUAUUAACAACUAAGCCAAUUUUUUCAAAAAAUAAUACAAAAAUGUGCACCAUACUUAAAGUAAAACUGUAGAUGUAAAUUCAUAUAAAAUAAUUUAAAACGAUGUAAAUAGAACAGUAUAAUCAUCAAUGUAACAAUUCUCAUAAUUUGUAACAGAAUAAUAACUUAGUUCUUAAAUAAAUAUUUGAUCUAAGGUGCAAGUGUUAAUCGGAAUGAAUGUCUCAUUUCUCGUUGAACAACGAUGGCUCCUUUAAAACAAGGUUAGUAUCAGAUUCAACUUCAGUAUGUACCGAGUUUUUUGCACUACACCUUCUCCAUAAGCUUGAACUGCUGCUCUCUUCAACAUUCGUGGGUGUCUGGUUCUUGCUCUCGACGUAAUGAAGACAGACUGGGACAGCAUCGUAUACUCUCACAAAGUACCAUUCUUUGCAAUCCCUGAUCUUGCCAGCGUCAAGAGAACCUCUUUGUUCGGAUUUGAAAUCGCAAGCUGCUCCAUUGAAAACCAACACAAUCAUCACAUAGGCUUUUCCAAAAUUAGAAGAAGCAAGUUACUAAAAAUGAAGGAUGAUGAUUACCUGAAUGUCCCUUGUUUUGUACUCCUCGUACAGUUCUUUCAAGGCUUCCACGGCGCUUGAGACUUCACUUCAAUAGACAUUAUCCCUUGUUUUGUACUCCUCGUACCAUUACAGGAAUAUGGUGCAUGUUCCUCUUGAAUUCAUCAUGUUCUGCAUCAAGUUUGAUCCGUUCAGAUUCCCCAAUAGAAAACAUUCUAUUCUAUUGGCCAUCACAAACCAUCGAACAAUGUCCCAAGAAAAGUUCCUUGACCCUGAGAGAUCCAUUUAUUUAUUUAAUGAAGCCACGCAAGGGACGUCUCUUAUGAGACAGCUGUCCAAACAUGAGUGCUUCAUCUUCCUUUCCGCCAUCUCUACGCAGGUAUUCGAUUUUCCUCCAUAGAUUAGUAUUUUUAUGAGUCCAGUCGAUUUUAGGUAUUAAGGAUUAUUGGUCCUAGGAAUCUGGGGUUGACAAGGAAUCGGAAGGAUCUGGUAAUUAAGGAGCUUGGCUGUCGUGGAAUGGUAAUUUAAAAACAUCGAUCUCUGCUUUUUCGAAUUGGAUUCUAUCUUCUUUGGAAUCUGGAUUUUAUGUUCUUUAUUUUAUUUUAUCUGAUGAUUGGGACUGAACGAAUUGGACUUGAUGCUGGUGACAGUCUUGGUGCUCUUGGUUUGAACCUCGAAUCCACUGGCCCUGGUGUAUUUGAUGCUCUGUUUUCGAGUUUCUCCAUGAUUCUUGUGACAGAGGUUCGUCUGCGUUAUUUGGUUUAAAGUCAUUCUUAGUUAGUAAACAAAAUUUAUAGUGUAAUCUUUGUAUAAGAUUGGCGAUGAUACUUUUAUAAUAGCGGCACUGAUGGCUAUGCGACACCCCAAAGCUACUGUUUUGUCUGGUGCACUUUCAGCUUUGUUUGUUAUGACUGUAAGUGCUUAGAUUACUCUCAUUGUUCUUUUUUUUUUAUCCAAAUCCAGUUUCUCAUGUUUCUUAUGAAGUAAAGGUUUGAUCUUUUUGUUGGAACAGUAUUGAGCGACCCGUUUACAAGGCAGGAGUACGACAAGAAAAGGAUGCGUCAUAUCUUUGAGCACAAUAUGGUACAUUAUAUUUGUUAUUUCUUUUAUUUGAGAGAGCUUUGAGUUUUAAUAAAAUCUUCAUCUUUUGUUGUUGUUGCAGGAGCUUUUUGAUCGGUACAAGGAGCUCAUCUUUACUUGCAAUGGCCUUGGGAUGAAGAAUUUUCUUUGGUGAAUUGCAGAACUUUUAAGUUAGGUGAUAUGUAUAGCCUUUGUAUGUUGAGUUAGAGACAUCAGCCUUUGUAGCAGGGUUCGAGUAUUGAUCAUAGUCUGAGAGCAAGAGAAACCAUCAAUUAAGCAUUAAUCAUGUUUUUAGGUUCUCUGCUUCCACAAGUUUUUCAUUUCCUUGUUUUUUUUGUUCUUUGUUCUUUGGAAAGAUUAGAAACUUGUGUUGAAAUGUCAAUCGUCUUCUUCCAUAGAUUCCUUAGUUUUAUUGUGUCUUGUAUUCUUUUUCUCACAUGUCUUGUAUUCUCAUGUCACGGACGUUGAUGAAAGUGUUUUCUGGUAUAUGAUCAAUUGUUUCUUCCAAGAAGUAUGAUAUAAGUAUGUUCUAAUUUUACAGAAAGACCAGUGAUGUAUAUGGCGGAGAUAAGAAACAAAAGUAGACUACUUUUCUAUGAAUUGUAAAGUAUAAAAUCUUCAUGAAAUUGGAAGGUGGUCAUGUGUUUGCUUACCGGAAUUAAUUUUCCAUCAAGGAGAAGCAUACAUAAAUUCACCGGAUUUCUUCACAUUCCAAGAUUCCCGAAUCUGAAGAGACACACUUCAAUGGUGGAUCUAGAACGAACGGCGAGUCACGUGUUUGCCGUAACUGAAGAGAUGAUUUUGAGCUGCCGCGGCUGAAAGAAAAUCAACAUUUUCACGCAAACAAUCGAGAUGCAUAUUGAUGGAAAGACUUACCUUUGUGAAUUUUGAUGUCAAUCGCACAGCUAGCCGCACAGCUAGCAAUCCAUCUGCUUUUACUGAUAAAAAUUAAUUUGAGGUUGGUUUCAUCAAAAUAACGGAGGUUUUACCAUAAAAGAAAAGGAAGUUUUACAAAAAAAAAAAACAGAGGUGAAAGAAUCGGCAACGGAAAUGGAGAAGUAGAAGAGACGAAACAUAUCAACAAAUUAGCAUCUCAAGUUUGGGCCUAACAGGCCACACGAUAAUUUUGGAACAGAUAAAAAAAAUCAGGUCCAACAUUUUCAUUUAUGUCUGUGACGUGGUAAAAAGAAAUGUUCUAAUUGGUUAAUUAUUUUUUCUGACGUGGAUAGUCUCACGAGGCUUUAUAUUCACCUUUUAGGAUAUGUUAGAUUAUGUGUAGUGUUCCUCUUUAAUCCAAUAGUUUUAUUAACAAUUUAUAAUAUUUUUACAUUAAAAAUCUGCUUUUCGAAAAUUAUAUUUUUGACUGAUGCAUUUCGAAUCUUAAAAACAAUUUAUUAACAACUAAGCCAAUUUUUUCAAAAAAUAAUACAAAAAUGUGCACCAUACUUAAAGUAAAACUGUAGAUGUAAAUUCAUAUAAAAUAAUUUAAAACGAUGUAAAUAGAACAGUAUAAUCAUCAAUGUAACAAUUCUCAUAAUUUGUAACAGAAUAAUAACUUAGUUCUUAAAUAAAUAUUUGAUCUAAGGUGCAAGUGUUAAUCGGAAUGAAUGUCUCAUUUCUCGUUGAACAACGAUGGCUCCUUUAAAACAAGGUUAGUAUCAGAUUCAACUUCAGUAUGUACCGAGUUUUUUGCACUACACCUUCUCCAUAAGCUUGAACUGCUGCUCUCUUCAACAUUCGUGGGUGUCUGGUUCUUGCUCUCGACGUAAUGAAGACAGACUGGGACAGCAUCGUAUACUCUCACAAAGUACCAUUCUUUGCAAUCCCUGAUCUUGCCAGCGUCAAGAGAACCUCUUUGUUCGGAUUUGAAAUCGCAAGCUGCUCCAUUGAAAACCAACACAAUCAUCACAUAGGCUUUUCCAAAAUUAGAAGAAGCAAGUUACUAAAAAUGAAGGAUGAUGAUUACCUGAAUGUCCCUUGUUUUGUACUCCUCGUACAGUUCUUUCAAGGCUUCCACGGCGCUUGAGACUUCACUUCAAUAGACAUUAUCCCUUGUUUUGUACUCCUCGUACCAUUACAGGAAUAUGGUGCAUGUUCCUCUUGAAUUCAUCAUGUUCUGCAUCAAGUUUGAUCCGUUCAGAUUCCCCAAUAGAAAACAUUCUAUUCUAUUGGCCAUCACAAACCAUCGAACAAUGUCCCAAGAAAAGUUCCUUGACCCUGAGAGAUCCAUUUAUUUAUUUAAUGAAGCCACGCAAGGGACGUCUCUUAUGAGACAGCUGUCCAAACAUGAGUGCUUCAUCUUCCUUUCCGCCAUCUCUACGCAGGUAUUCGAUUUUCCUCCAUAGAUUAGUAUUUUUAUGAGUCCAGUCGAUUUUAGGUAUUAAGGAUUAUUGGUCCUAGGAAUCUGGGGUUGACAAGGAAUCGGAAGGAUCUGGUAAUUAAGGAGCUUGGCUGUCGUGGAAUGGUAAUUUAAAAACAUCGAUCUCUGUUUUUUCGAAUUGGAUUCUAUCUUCUUUGGAAUCUGGAUUUUAUGUUCUUUAUUUUAUUUUAUCUGAUGAUUGGGACUGAACGAAUUGGACUUGAUGCUGGUGACAGUCUUGGUGCUCUUGGUUUGAACCUCGAAUCCACUGGCCCUGGUGUAUUUGAUGCUCUGUUUUCGAGUUUCUCCAUGAUUCUUGUGACAGAGGUUCGUCUGCGUUAUUUGGUUUAAAGUCAUUCUUAGUUAGUAAACAAAAUUUAUAGUGUAAUCUUUGUAUAAGAUUGGCGAUGAUACUUUUAUAAUAGCGGCACUGAUGGCUAUGCGACACCCCAAAGCUACUGUUUUGUCUGGUGCACUUUCAGCUUUGUUUGUUAUGACUGUAAGUGCUUAGAUUACUCUCAUUGUUCUUUUUUUUUUAUCCAAAUCCAGUUUCUCAUGUUUCUUAUGAAGUAAAGGUUUGAUCUUUUUGUUGGAACAGUAUUGAGCGACCCGUUUACAAGGCAGGAGUACGACAAGAAAAGGAUGCGUCAUAUCUUUGAGCACAAUAUGGUACAUUAUAUUUGUUAUUUCUUUUAUUUGAGAGAGCUUUGAGUUUUAAUAAAAUCUUCAUCUUUUGUUGUUGUUGCAGGAGCUUUUUGAUCGGUACAAGGAGCUCAUCUUUACUUGCAAUGGCCUUGGGAUGAAGAAUUUUCUUUGGUGAAUUGCAGAACUUUUAAGUUAGGUGAUAUGUAUAGCCUUUGUAUGUUGAGUUAGAGACAUCAGCCUUUGUAGCAGGGUUCGAGUAUUGAUCAUAGUCUGAGAGCAAGAGAAACCAUCAAUUAAGCAUUAAUCAUGUUUUUAGGUUCUCUGCUUCCACAAGUUUUUCAUUUCCUUGUUUUUUUUGUUCUUUGUUCUUUGGAAAGAUUAGAAACUUGUGUUGAAAUGUCAAUCGUCUUCUUCCAUAGAUUCCUUAGUUUUAUUGUGUCUUGUAUUCUUUUUCUCACAUGUCUUGUAUUCUCAUGUCACGGACGUUGAUGAAAGUGUUUUCUGGUAUAUGAUCAAUUGUUUCUUCCAAGAAGUAUGAUAUAAGUAUGUUCUAAUUUUACAGAAAGACCAGUGAUGUAUAUGGCGGAGAUAUGUUGAGCGAGACUAAACCAUUACAGAUACAGGCUUCAGCCAAGAAAGACAUUGCCUCCACCAAAGUUGCCAAGUGAUCACAUAACCAAGCUCUGUCGUGGGGAUUGGAUGAUUAAAAGGUCGUCAAGUUCUAACCUAGUGCAGCAUCAACGUCCAUUACAAAAGGUUGUAUUAUCAGAAACUUGUAUAAAUGAUAUGGAUAAUGAAAGUGUAUUCACAAGAUCAAAUGUUUCUUCUCAAAUCUUCCUUCUCAAGUUCUUUCAAUUUUUUUUGUAAUAACUCUUACUUAAAAAACUUGCAAUAGAGGACAAAAAUUCAAGUGUCUCUUAACUAAAGUUUUUAAGACAAAUUUAUUAUUAAACAAUUGAUUAAGAGACCCCAAUGAGAUCUAAGGAUAAAGAUGCUCUUAUGUCACCUAAUUAAGAUACGUUGCUUCUGGUAAUUGGCUUUUUUCUUUUUCUUUAAUCCCUAAUUAAACUAAAACCUCCUCAUAAGAUCUCUCGAUAAAGAUGCUCUAAGACCCUUGAAACCAUUUCUUGUAUACAGACUUUUGAAGUAACCUUUUAAAUCUCCUCUAAACUCAGAUGAUUCUGAUCUUCAAGUGCCAAAAGCAAUGUGACAGGUCCUCUACGUCUUGUAUUUAUCCAUUAGUAUUUCUUAAAAAGGCUUCUUAGACCAUGAUUAACCCGGGGUUCUUAGAAUGAAGUUCUUAGCGGAUGUUAAGAAACUGUUUCUUAACUUUUAACUAAAAAAACUAAGAACUAGUUCUUAGUUUUUUUAGUUAAAAGUUAAGAAACAGUUUCUUAACAUCCGCUAAGAACUUCAUUCUAAGAACCCCGGGUUAAUGAUGCUCUUAGUCUGUAAAAAUCAACUUAACUUUUAAACAGCACUGGUUUCAGUGACAAAAAAACAUUGGUUUAUGAUCAUACGGCCAGUUAGGUUAACAAAACAAUAUGGGACCAACAAAUUUGAAACAUUUUAGAGAAGGAACAUUUAAAUACCAUAUUUCUUAAUUAGGUUGAAACAAAUACCAUAUUUCGUACUAUUAAGCAAAUAUUUCUAUUAUUAGACUAAGAAACAAAAUAAGCCUUUUACCUUUGAUUUUUGAUGAGGUUGGAGAUCAAAUGAGUUGAUUUUUAAAAUUGACUUGUUGCGAGGGAUAAUACGUACUUAGUUCCUUGUUUUGACGUGGUUGAUGAAGAUUGAAUGGAUCUUUGGAGAGACACUUGUGCUAGUAUAGUGUUGAUUUUACUACUAUUCGCAGCUAUGAGUUGUAUGUUAUAGAAAAUUAAAUUUUUAAUUAUUGAAGUUUUAGUGACAUAUGUUCACGAUUUUCUACUAAUCGAUUUGAUCAGUCAUGGGCAGUAAAACAAAUGUCGGAGCCAUAUGUAAAUAAAAGGAGUUUUAUUUAGUUUGAUAUUCUCUUAUUGCUUGGAUACAACAAAGCUGCAUUAUUAACACUCCUUAAUUAAAUAGCAGCAUCCAAGAAAACGUUACUACCUUCACUAAACGGCCUUUGUUUGUCACAGUCAACAUUACUUCCCGGAUCAACACCAAACAUGCCACAAUACCUUGUAUAAAACGAUAUCCGAUCUUGGACCUGUGCGACAUUGCGACCAGCACACUCUAAUCCACCGUUAAUGAUAUUGGUAAUCACUCCAUAACCUGGUAAUCUCCCCGCUGAAAUAUCGGCAGCCGACGGCUGCCACUGGUCGGUGAUCACAUCGUGGCAAGACGGUUUAGGAGCCUGAGGAGUCAUCCAGAACCAAAUUGCAGUUUCGAAAGCUAUCACUGGGUCGCUGGACGCAAUAGCUGGCCUGCGUAGUAAGUCGAGUCCUAGGUCUCUCCCGCACUGUCCAUAAUUGUAGUUCCAAGACAGCAUCAUUGGUCCUCUUCCGUAGUAAAAUUGGCCUGGUGCGCAUGGCCACUCGAGGUUGUUGCUAUCACAGUAGGGGUUACUUUUGCCAAUUUCGUCCUUGAAACAGUAGCCCCAUGUAUUUGCUCCGUCUGGUGCAUCCGCCCACCCACCUUCAACAUGUUACUUAUAUAUUAUAGUCACAACUUUUCAAUAUGUUAAGCUUUUAUCGAAAAUACCCUGUGAUCUCCUAUACAUUAUUUGAGAAGUGAUUUUGCCAUAUGUAUUCUUUACAAUCACUUUCAUAAAAAAAAAAUAUGACAAGGCUACUAAAAUUGAUGACAUGACUUAGUGUUGAUUUAUAUUUUUGGUAAACUUUUUAGAAUAUGGAAACAAAUCAUACAUAUCAUUAGAAUAUAUUCAAAUAAAAAAUUACAAAUUUCGAAAUAUUAUUUUAUUUUCUCUUUAUAAUUAUACAAUUUUUAUUAAUAAAGCUUUCAAAAAAAAUUACAAUUUUUUUCUAAAAAUAUAAUUUUAUCGUAAAAUAAUUAGUUUCUUAUAUAUCUACAAAUUUUAUAAAUAUUGUUUAGUUUUGAUUUUUGAUAAUUAUACAAUUUUUUUAUCAAUUUUUCGUUAAUUUUAUACAAAUUGAUUUAACAUAUAUUUAACCAAAAUAAAUAGAAAGAAAAAUCUACCUAAGAUUAUAAUUUUAAAUAUAUAUACAUAUAUAUUCUUAAAUAUAAUUUUAAGUAAAUAAAAUUAUUUUUAUCUUAAUUUUAUGUUUAAUUAAAUAAGAUGUAUAUUAAAAUAUUAUUGUAAGCAAAUAAUAAAAUAUAAAAAUUAAUAAUAAAAAAUAUUUUUAAAUAUAAUUUAAUUUAAAAAAAACAUUUAUCGCAUAUGGUGCAUGAAAACACCUAGUAAACAUUAAAAUACAUUCUUAGUCAUUUUUAUUUUUAAUUAGUGAUAUUUUAGAAAUGUUCCUUUUGUAUGUUAUUUUUAUCGUGAAAUUCCUUCAUACAUUUUCCUCGUAUAUCAUUUAUUAAACAGAUUAAAAUAAUUAAAAGUGAGUUUUCUUUUGAAAUUGGGAUAGGAUGCGACGAAAGUUUCUAAAUGUUUUGUUUGGUUGUGCCCGUUACGUACGUCAGUAUAUAAUUUUUAUAUAAAUUUGAAAUUUUCUAAUAUAAUGGCUAUAUUAUUUUGAACAAAAACAUUUUGUUUGCGUUUGGUGUUUGGCUGUUUUUUUUUUGCUGUUUAUUAAAACAAAUUAUUUUAUAUCAAAAAAUGUGUGUUUGUAUUUAAUAAACAAAUUAAUAAUAUUUUUAGUUGUUUUUCAACUAAUUUUAAAACUUGUGUUGAAAAAAAAAUAACAUCGAAACCGAAGUAUAGUGAUCGUUACCAGUGGUUUCGUGGGAAGUCUGGCCGAAGAAGGCUGCGAUCUCCUUCUUCCUUGUGGCAAGGUCUCCGGUGUUCCCAAAACUAGGGAAAAACUUAGCGGCGGUGAUGAAGGCAUCGUAAGUGAAGAACCCUCUAGCAGGACAAGCAUUAUCGUUCAUGUGCUUAAGCAUUUUAUAGAACUGAUCUCUUGAAAUGAUGCCCGAAAG